rnacentral:lncRNA from 1 species
AGGACGCUGGGAACACGGAUUCCUGGAUCCCACCAGCCUACGAAGAAAGCCACGGGCGGCGACCCCUGGGACCAGGACGACCAAGGAGGAGGACGACCAGAACUGACCAGCCAGCCCCCUUGGCUAAAGGCUUAGACCUGUGCCCUAGUGAGGGGGCAUUGGUCGCCAACCCCUGACCUUUGCUAUGCUUCUGCCUUGUUGCUCUGAUACUUGCCUCUAUGUCUCUGCCUGUGUUAACCUGCCAGCGCCCUGGAGGGUUGCCAUCCCCAGGGAGGUGUCAGUCUUUCUCGCUCCACUUGUUGUCGCCCGAAUGACGUCCUGAACGGAAGGGUCCCUUUGGGAACGUCUCGGGAGGCCGACCUGGGCCAAGGGCACAACCAGCAUCUCACUGGCAAUUCCAAGGCCCUGGGUGGGCUUCUGGAAUGAGCAUGAGCCCCGACGUCAUGCCACAGAACUGCCAGGGGCACCCCCCCUCCUUUGAGCUCUCCCUGUCCCUCCUGGGGGGACAGGGACGAGAAGAGCAGUCUCCCAGGGGGUUGUGAGUAUUGAAUGAGAUGAAGUCGCCUCGGGCAGGGCCAGGCAUAGAGGAGGCAGUCGGCAAAUGUUUGUUGAUAAAGUUUGGCCGAUCAGUCAGUCCAGCCCCGGCCCGCUCCCGUGUCUCACCGUCUCAUUUAUUCUCCCACAGCACUCCGGAUGGCCCCUGGCCACGGGGCUCUGCCCGCACCAGGUCUCCUUCUGGAGUUGGGGUCUGUGAGCUGGACCCCUCCCUCCGUGACGCCUUCCUCCCUCCUCUGCGCCCCCAGUCGUUGGCUGGGGCCUGUCCAGGGCAAAGGGCAGAUGACUGGGGGACCUCCGGGGAGCGUUGCAGGCUCUGCCAAGGCCUGGCUGCCCACCUGUUCUCUACCUGGCGGUUCCUUCCCUGCCUCCCUCCCCCCAGCCAGGGUGCCUGCCCACCUGGAGCUCUGCUUGCCCGGCCCGCCCCUCUGUGCCCCCUGUCACUGGGCUCAGGAUCUUCUGGGUCCUGGCUGUGCCGCCCUCUGCCUAACAGGUUGUUUUUCCCGCUGCCUCGCCCACCUCCCACCUGCGUGCCUUUUGCCCUCCCCGUCCCCUGGUACAAGGAAGCCCUCCCCGCUCAGGGCCGCCCAAGUUUCCAGUGGGUCUCUGGUGCCCCGGGAUAA